AAUAAUCAAAUAUAAUACUUGAACUAAGGAUAAUAACGUUGGUAAUUUUUCUUACAUUUCCGCCUCCUGGAGCCCAGGUAUCAUAACA
rnacentral:ncRNA from 1 species